AUUGAACGCUGGCGGCAUGCCUUACACAUGCAAGUCGAACGGUAACAGGUCUUCGGAUGCUGACGAGUGGCGAACGGGUGAGUAAUACAUCGGAACGUGCCUAGUAGUGGGGGAUAACUACUCGAAAGAGUGGCUAAUACCGCAUGAGAUCUACGGAUGAAAGCAGGGGAUCGCAAGACCUUGUGCUACUAGAGCGGCCGAUGGCAGAUUAGGUAGUUGGUGGGAUAAAAGCUUACCAAGCCGACGAUCUGUAGCUGGUAUGAGAGGGCGAUCAGCCACACAGGGACUGAGAAACGGCACAGACGCCUACGGGAGGCAGCAGUGGGGAAUUUUGGACAAUGGGCGCAAGCCUGAUCCAGAAAUGCCGCGUGCAGGAUGAAGGCCUUCGGGUUGUAAACUGCUUUUGUACGGAACGAAAAGCCCCGGGUUAAUACCCUGGGGUCAUGACGGUACCGUAAGAAUAAGCACCGGCUAACUACGUGCCAGCCGCCGCAGUAA
rnacentral:rRNA from 1 species